UUCCAUAAUUGUUCUUCUGCAUUAAAAAGUACUCCUUUAAAGAAAACCCCCCCGCAAAACCCAUUCCUCAACUCAACUGCGACUGGUGAAAGCCCUAUCUGUGUGGAAAUAGGGUAGCUGCAACCUGCAAUGGCUUCUCGUUAUAGAUCUGUUUCGCAACCAGCAUUCUCCAUAAUCAAAUCCACCAUCACCAAACCUUCCUCGAAGCUCCUCCCGUCGUCUUUUCUCCUCAAAACUCGUUCUCCCGUUACGGCCAGGUGGGUGGGCGGUGAGCUCGGUUGCCUGCAGUCGCUGCUUCCCCUGCACUCGGCGGUUUCAUCAGCGCGCCUCACCUCAUGUCUGGGCAUCGAUUCGAGUAGGUCGAGGUCGCUGUCUCAGGAAAUGGGUCUCAGCACACCGCGAUAAGAGAUUUUGAAGACCAUUCAUUGGCAGAUUAGAGUCUUUUUUGCUUUGCCGGGACGCUCUAAUGUUAAUUAUUUUCAAGUUUUUUCUUGACAGUUCACUGUAACGGGUAUAUAGUUGGGAGAAUCCUUUGAUCUUCUGGUGUCUGUUGCAAUGGUUCCUAUAAAAUGCUUGGUCAAUCCAGUAUUAAUUGUUUUAAAGAUCAACCUAUGCCAACAUCAUUUAGUGAAUAAAAAACAAAAAAAUUGCUGAUUGACCUCUCUA